rnacentral:rRNA from 1 species
GGACCCGCACAAGCGGUGGAGCAUGUGGUUCAAUUCGAAGAUAAGCGAGGAACCUCACCAGGGCUUGACAGCUAGCCUAUGUAAAACCUUAAUCGGUUUUUCUUAGUGGCUAAGACAGGUGCUGCAUGGUUGUCGUCAGCAUGUGCCGUGAGGUGCACCGUUAAUUCGGGUAACAUGCGCAACCCUCAUCCUGAUUUAAUUUUCAUCAGGAAACUGCCUCCGAUAAGGAGGAGGAAGGUGGGGAUGACGUCAAAUCAGCAUGGUCCUUACGCUCUGGGCUACACACGUGCUACAAUGGCCACUACAAUGGGACGCCAAGUCGCAAGACGGAGCUAACCCCAUCAAAAGUGGCCUCAGUUCGGAUUGAGGUCUGCAACUCGACCUCAUGAAGUUGGAAUCGCUAGUAAACGCGAAUCAGCCUCGUCGCGUUGAAUACGUUCUCGGGUCUU